ensembl:snRNA U6 U6 spliceosomal RNA
GUGCUAUCUUCAGGAGUCCAUGCAGUAAAAUUGGAAAGAAGAGUAGCAGGCCUCUAUGCAAGGAUGACACACAAAUCAAUCAUGAAACUGUUAAUAUUUUA